rnacentral:rRNA from 1 species
UACGUAGGGGGCAAGCGUUGUUCGGAAUACUGGGCGUAAAGGGCGCGUAGGCGGCACAGCAAGUCGGAAGUGAAAGCCCGGGGCUCAACCCCGGAAUGUCUUUCGAAACUGCUGAGCUAGAGUGCAGAAGAGGCAACUGGAAUUCCCAGUGUAGCGGUGAAAUGCGUAGAUAUUGGGAAGAACACCUGAGGCGAAGGCGGGUUGCUGGGCUGACACUGACGCUGAGGCGCGAAAGCCAGGGGAGCGAACGGG